rnacentral:rRNA from 1 species
AUUGAACGCUGGCGGCAGGCUUAACACAUGCAAGUCGAGCGGAGAUGAGGUGCUUGCACCUUAUCUUAGCGGCGGACGGGUGAGUAAUGCUUAGGAAUCUGCCUAUUAGUGGGGGACAACAUUCCGAAAGGAAUGCUAAUACCGCAUACGCCCUACGGGGGAAAGCAGGGGAUCUUCGGUCCUUGCGAUAAUCGAUCAGACUAAGUCGGAUUAGCUAGUUGGUGGGGUAAAGGCCUACCACGUCGACGAUCUGUAGCGGGUCUGAGAGGAUGAUCCGCCGCACUGGGACUGAGACACGGCCCAGACUCCUACGGGAGGCAGCAGUGUGGAAUAUUGGACAAUGGGCGGAAGCCUGAUCCAGCCAUGCCGCGUGUGUGAAGAAGGCCUUUUGGUUGUAAAGCACUUUAAGCGAGGAGGAGGCUACCUGGAUUAAUACUCUAGGAUAGUGGACGUUACUCGCAGAAUAAGCACCGGCUAACUCUGUGCCAGCCGCCGCUGUAAAAC